rnacentral:rRNA from 1 species
UGGCUCAGGACGAACGCUGGCGGCGUGCUUAACACAUGCAAGUCGAACGGGGUACUUGUACCCAGCGGCAAACGGGUGAGUAAAGCGCAAAUAACCUGCCGCAUUGAUGGGGACAACAAAUCGAAAGGUUUGCUAAUACCGAAUGUUGUACGGGAUUCGCAUGGAUUCUGUACUAAAGAUUUAUCGCGAUGCGAGGGGUUUGCGUCUGAUUAGAUAGUUGGCAGAGUAAAAGCCUACCAAGUCGACGAUCAGUAACCGGUCUGAGAGGAUGAACGGUCACAAUGGAACUGAGACACGGUCCAUACUCCUACGGGAGGCAGCAGUGGGGAAUAUUCCACAAUGGGCGAAAGCCUGAUGGAGCGACGCCGCGUGAGUGAAGAAGGGUUUCGACUCGUAAAGCUCUUUUCUGAUAGACGAAUGACCAAUUAGAUUGGUAGAGACGGUAUAUGAGGAAUAAGCCACGGCUAACUACGUGCCAGCCGCCGC